CAACGAUGCUCUUGGAGGAUAGGGACAGAGACUGCGCGCCGCGCCACUCACUUUGUUCAGCAUCUGAAAGCCAAAAGCAAAGAGGAAAAUGAUAAUAAAACUAAAUGAUUCAGCUACCGAGCUGUAGCUAAGGGUCAGCCUUAUUUCUCCCGAAGCGACCCAGCAGCUAUGCUUACCUCGGGGUUAAUCUCCAUCGGCUUCAGCUGCAUCUUCGCGGAUGGCACCUGCAGACACAAACCCGAGGAGCCGAAAAAACAGCCGGUGGAGCCGCCCAGGCUGCUGUUAUAAAGCGCCGGCCUCGCUCACUGGGAAAGCCUGAGCAGGGGAGACGGGAGCAGAAACAAGCAGAGGAGGAAGGCCAAGAGGGCUCGAACUCCCCCAUGCACCGCACAGAAUGGUACAAGCCAAGCCCCCAAACCUUGCAGUCUCACUCGCCUGAGGGAGCUUUCAAUUUGGAGCGAAAUUUCUGGAAACCCUCCUCUGUCGUCUCAAUCACUCCAAAGCUCGAGGGUCUCUGAAACAUUGAGAGAGAGAGAAAAAAAAGCACAAAAUCAACAGUCCUUCUGUGUUCUAGGUCAUAGUCUGCAUCAGAUGAACAGCGUGAGAAUGCUUUCUCCAAACAUACUCGGAAGACAUGGGAACCAAAUCAGUGUGACACUAGCAAACUCAAUGACAACAGAGAUAAGACAAAUAAAUGCAAAGACACAGAGCGGUCAAGCUGAUUUUUGAAGUGCUCCCCGGACUGGGCAUGGUAGCACGCACCUGUGAUUCCAGCAGCUGAGAGAGAGGCCGAGGUGAGAAGAUUACCACUGUGAAGUGCUAGAGGAGGUCAGAAGAGGGCAUUGGAUCCCCCAGAACUGGAGUUAUACGGUAACCUCGUGGUGGUUGUGAACCACCAUGUGGAUGGAUAUUGAGUUCCAAACACUGGUCCUGUGCAAGAGCAUCCAGUGCUCUUAAGUGCUGAGCCAUCUCUUUAGCUCCAGUCUCUUAAAAAACAAACAAACGAACGAACAGCAAGGGAGCUGGGUAUGACAACACAUACUAUAAUUCUAGUACUCAGGAUGCUGAAACAGGAGGAUUGCCUGACUGGGAGAUAUAAGGAGAAUCUGUUGUCACCCCCACCCCUCCCCAUAAAGGCAGAAUAAAAGAACGUCCUAUAAACAAAUAAACAAACAACCCAAUAAAACAAAACCAAGAUCUCUCCACCUUUUCUUUGCUUUUUCAGACUUUGUAAUAAGGCCCUUUGGAGUGCAGGAUAUUCGGCAGGACAAGCAGAGAGGGAGACCAUCAGUUCUUUCUUUGAUCAAGAAGACUAUGUUCCUUAGCAAACUGGUGUGUAUUAUCUCUUAUGCAAUGAGCCUGGAAAGAGGGCACAGCCACCGAGGAUGGUACAGCAUGGAUGGAUGGUACGCUACAGAGACUCGGGAGCCCAACUGUGAGUGGCUGACUGGCAUGGUAGGUUCAGGGAAGAAUUGGCCUGUGAAGAAAAUGUUCUUGAAAAGUGAACAAGGUGCAGGAGGUAGGAGUGGGUCCUGGGCAAAGCAGGGGGUGCAUCCCAGCCUCAGGGAAUAGCACAGCAGAGGUCUGUUGAUGCAUGCGAGUGCAUGACCUGCUUGCCAAUAGACGAUCAAGAAUGGGCAAAGCAUCAUGGGUGAUGAGUGGGAGAGGGGAUGAGACAUUCCUUUCUCCCUGCUGAGACUUCCAUUGAACCGAUGAGUUCUGAAUAGAAGAUGCCCCCCCACCCCCCCACCAGUGUAGAAUCUGAAGGGAGGCAUAUAUUACCCUAUAUUACUCUGUGUUGGCGGCGAGCUAUCUGACAGCCAACCUUCCCAUACAUUUCAUUGGGCAUACACUAAUGACAGGAAGUUCCUUUUGCUUGUAUGCAAGAGAUGGCUCACACGAUGGAGAAUUUAAUCUUGUUAGUUUGUUAUUUAUGUGUCCUAAAUUUUGUUCAAUAAAAAUGAAACACUCCUAU
rnacentral:lncRNA from 1 species